AUGUGGAUUAUAUCAAGUCCUUUCCUACUUGCAGCAACUUUAGACUAUCAUCUUGACACAUACAACAGCAGCAAAUAUUUUAGAGAAAAUAUUUAUGUGGAUAAUGUAAUUACUGGAGUAGAUUCGACAGAGAAUGCAGUUACAUUAUAUAAAGAGGCAAAACAAAUAUUCAGUGAUGCAUCAAUGAACUUAAGAGAAUGGGCAUCAAAUUCACAGCAAUUUUUAAAAUGCAUUCCCAAGGAAGACCAGGCGAAUAGAGAAAAAUAUAAAGGUUCUUGGAUUAACUUGGACAAUAAAAGAUGA
rnacentral:sRNA from 1 species